AAUGAACGCUGGCGGCGUGCUUAACACAUGCAAGUCGAACGCGAAAGCCCGCAAGGGUGAGUAAAGUGGCAAACGGGUGAGUAACACGUGGGUAAUCUGCCUUCCGAUGGGGAAUAACAGUUCGAAAGGGCUGCUAAUACCGCAUGACAAACCGCUAUCAAUUUAGACGGUUUCAAAGCAGCAAUGCGUCGGAAGAGGAGCCCGCGGCCCAUUAGCUAGUUGGCAGGGUAAUGGCCUACCAAGGCGACGAUGGGUAGCCGGCCUGAGAGGGUGUACGGCCACACUGGAACUGAGACACGGUCCAGACUCCUACGGGAGGCAGCAGUGGGGAAUAUUGCGCAAUGGACGAAAGUCUGACGCAGCGACGCCGCGUGGGUGAUGAAGUUCUUCGGAACGUAAAACCCUGUCUGGUGGAACGAAAAAAAUGACGGUACCACCGAAGGAAGCCCCGGCUAACUCCGUGCCAGCAGCCGCGGUAAU
rnacentral:rRNA from 1 species